GACAGAGGGGGCAAGCGUUGCUCGGAAUUACUGGGCGUAAAGGGCGCGUAGGCGGGAUGGCAAGUCGGUCGUGAAAUCCCUCGGCUCAACUGAGGAUCGUCGAUCGAUACUGCUGUUCUUGAGGAUUGCAGAGGAGACUGGAAUUCCCGGUGUAGCGGUGAAAUGUGUAGAGAUCGGGAGGAACACCGGUGGCGAAGGCGGGUCUCUGGGCAAUUCCUGACGCUGAGGCGCGAAAGCUAGGGGAGCAAACAGG
rnacentral:rRNA from 1 species